rnacentral:rRNA from 1 species
GACAGAGGGUGCAAACGUUGCUCGGAAUCACUGGGCGUAAGGGGCGUGUAGGCGGGAAGGAAAGUCAGAUGUGAAAUCCCCAGGCUCAACCUGGGAACUGCAUUUGAAACUCCCUUUCUUGAGUACCGGAGAGGAAAGUGGAAUUCCUGGUGUAGAGGUGAAAUUCGUAGAUAUCAGGAGGAACACCAGUGGCGAAGGCGGCUUUCUGGACGGUAACUGACGCUGAGACGCGAAAGCGUGGGGAGCAAACAGG